CUUCAAUAAAAGAAAAAAGUACAAACGAAACAAAACAAAACAACCCUCCUAAGCUUCUAAUGUUCCAACUCCCUAGCGUGGACAUGAGGCACCUCUGCUGUGGUCCCAAUAUAUCUCCCCAGUUUCAUUUCGUGCCUGCUCUGUCCCACAAUGAACCCUACUUAGAAGGCACUCCAUACUCUCAGCGUGCUGUGGACACACAAUGGUCCUGCUGCCAGGCCUCUGCACAGGCUGGUGCCCUCACCAGGCAUGCCCUCCCACCCUCCAUUCCUUUUUCCACCAGGAAGUCUUCUGUCAGGAAGUACUCAACAGUCACCUCCCAGGCCAGCUCUUCCCAAGUCCUCUAGGCUGGCUUUGUGUCUCUCUCCUCUGUUCCAUUUCAGCCCUUCGAGCACACCCCGAGUAGAACCCAUCAUUGCCACUACCGCUCUUGGUUUGCAUCUUUCCUUGCACCAGACAGCAAACCCACAUGGAACAGAUGUUUACCGCAUCAAUUACCUUAUGUGAAAGAGCAGAGUCCUCGUAGGAGGUGAAACCACCCCUAUCAAUCCACACAUUUUUAUAAACUCCUUUGGAAACAGAUUCCUAUAGUGAAAGGAUCCCUCCCAAUUCCUUUCAAAAAGACCUUGUAUGUCAACCAGACCAAAAUGAAAUUGUACAAAAAUCUAGUAAGGUCCUGUUAUGGAUUCACAGCAACCCAGGAGGUUGCAGGGCUUUUCAGCUUCCUGGAAUUUUUUUUCCAUUGGUGACAGACAUGUAGGGUCAUUUCAUGUUAGAUGUCAGAAUGUGAUACAGCCCUAUAAUUAGAAGGAUGUGAAUAGUACCCAAUUGUGCAAGGCUCAUGAAACAUAACUCAAUAUUGAGGUUGGGGAUGUGGAGAGAAAUGAAUGAAUAUAAGAAAUGCAAAGUAUUAAAUACUAGAUAGCACUUGAUAUGUUUUUUUUUUUUAAGAAAUUGUGCUUUGGGGUGUUUUCUCUUACCAGCUGGCAAAUGAUGAUAUACAUGUAUCUGAAAAUGCCUUAUGUAAAACAGGAGACACGACGGAACAGGGCAUGAUAUUAGAAGCAGAGAGAGUACAAGUGUUCUUCGAACCACGAACGAUAAAAGGAACUGCUUCCAACCCAGAGCAAGCUACCAUUUUGUCAUCUUCCAAAGAGCCAGAGACUAAAUCUGGAGAAGAGCUCGUGGGACAUGAUCUGGAAACAGUUCAAUUGAGCAGGUUCCGCCCAGCCUUGUGCUCCUCCCUGAUCUCCUGGUUCCUUUAACGGCAAGCUAAAGAACUCAGCCGGAUUCCAGACAGCUUGUCAACAGAAGAAUGAAGCCCAAGGGCAAGGACGACUGGAACUCAGCUAACACCAGAUGAUAAGAUCCAUGAGGGCAGGACCACAUCUGCCCAGCUCCCCACUGGGUACCCAGCCCCACCACAGAGAAAAUGCCGGGAAACAACGCAGACAGCACCCUGCCGUGAGGCAGGAGAAAUGGAGUGCACCACAGCCAAGGAGCCCCACGGGGAACUGAGGGACAGCCUUGCCCCGGACUUCAUGUGUGUGAAGUUCAGAAGCAGAAAAGCUAUGAUCUAACAGCCAUGGUUCCAGAGAUGCUAAAUGUGACAAAGCAAUGCUUUUCCUUGGGAAACACACUCCUGACAACUACCCAAUGCUGAUAUACGGCAAGACCUACCCAUCCCUGUUGCUGGCACUGUUCCUGCCUGGCAGUGCCAAGGAACUGUGAAAGUGCAUGCGGGGUUUCCUCAUCUGAGCCUUUGUUCCCCAUUCUCUUAUUCUACUGAGCCCUGAGACUGACACACGGGCCAAUCACACUGUGUGACUGGGUUUCUCAUUUGGGAGCAGAUUUUAUCUAAUGUGUACGUUUACCCUACACACAAUAAAAAAAAAAAAAGGUGUCCCUCCCCAUCCUCACAAUUGCCUGACCUUAAC